AUGAACGCUAGCUACAGGCUUAACACAUGCAAGUCGAGGGGCAGCAUGAUUGAAGCUUGCUUCAAUCGAUGGCGACCGGCGCACGGGUGAGUAACACGUAUCCAACCUGCCGAUAACUCGGGGAUAGCCUUUCGAAAGAAAGAUUAAUACCCGAUAGCAUAGUUUUUCCGCAUGGUUUCACUAUUAAAGAAUUUCGGUUAUCGAUGGGGAUGCGUUCCAUUAGAUAGUUGGCGGGGUAACGGCCCACCAAGUCAACGAUGGAUAGGGGUUCUGAGAGGAAGGUCCCCCACAUUGGAACUGAGACACGGUCCAAACUCCUACGGGAGGCAGCAGUGAGGAAUAUUGGUCAAUGGACGAGAGUCUGAACCAGCCAAGUAGCGUGAAGGAUGACUGCCCUAUGGGUUGUAAACUUCUUUUAUACGGGAAUAAAGUGGAGUAUGCAUACUCCUUUGUAUGUACCGUAUGAAUAAGGAUCGGCUAACUCCGUGCCAGCAGCCGCGGUAAUACGGAGGAUCCGAGCGUUAUCCGGAUUUAUUGGGUUUAAAGGGAGCGUAGGCGGGUGCUUAAGUCAGUUGUGAAAGUUUGCGGCUCAACCGUAAAAUUGCAGUUGAUACUGGGCGCCUUGAGUGCAGCAUAGGUAGGCGGAAUUCGUGGUGUAGCGGUGAAAUGCUUAGAUAUCACGAAGAACUCCGAUUGCGAAGGCAGCUUACUGGACUGUAACUGACGCUGAUGCUCGAAAGUGUGGGUAUCAAACAGGAUUAGAUACCCUGGUAGUCCACACAGUAAACGAUGAAUACUCGCUGUUGGCGAUACACAGUCAGCGGCCAAGCGAAAGCAUUAAGUAUUCCACCUGGGGAGUACGCCGGCAACGGUGAAACUCAAAGGAAUUGACGGGGGCCCGCACAAGCGGUGGAGCAUGUGGUUUAAUUCGAAGCAACGCGAAGAACCUUACCAGGUCUUGACAUCCCGAUGCUAUUCUUAGAGAUAGGAAGUUACUUCGGUACAUCGGAGACAGGUGGUGCAUGGUUGUCGUCAGCUCGUGCCGUGAGGUGUCGGCUUAAGUGCCAUAACGAGCGCAACCCUUAUCUAUAGUUACUAUCAGGUCAUGCUGAGGACUCUAUGGAGACUGCCGUCGUAAGAUGUGAGGAAGGUGGGGAUGACGUCAAAUCAGCACGGCCCUUACGUCCGGGGCUACACACGUGUUACAAUGGGGGGUACAGAAGGCAGCUACCUGGCGACAGGAUGCUAAUCCCUAAAACCUCUCUCAGUUCGGAUUGGAGUCUGCAACCCGACUCCAUGAAGCUGGAUUCGCUAGUAAUCGCGCAUCAGCCACGGCGCGGUGAAUACGUUCCCGGGCCUUGUACACACCGCCCGUCAAGCCAUGAAAGCCGGGGGUACCUGAAGUACGUAACCGCAAGGAGCGUCCUAGGGUAAAACUGGUGAUUGGGGCU
rnacentral:rRNA from 1 species